UACGUAGGGACCAAGCGUUGUUCGGAUUUACUGGGCGUAAAGGGCGCGUAGGCGGCGUGACAAGUCAGUUGUGAAAUCUCCGAGCUUAACUCGGAACGGUCAACUGAUACUGUUGUGCUAGAGUACAGAAGGGGCAAUCGGAAUUCUUGGUGUAGCGGUGAAAUGCGUAGAUAUCAAGAGGAACACCUGAGGUGAAGACGGGUUGCUGGGCUGAUACUGACGCUGAGGCGCGAAAAGCUAGGGGUAGCAAACGGGG
rnacentral:rRNA from 1 species